rnacentral:rRNA from 1 species
UACAGAGGUCUCAAGCGUUGUUCGGAUUCAUUGGGCGUAAAGGGUGCGUAGGCGGCGCGGUAAGUCGGGUGUGAAAUCUCGGAGCUUAACUCCGAAACUGCAUUUGAUACUGCCGUGCUUGAGGACUGGAGAGGAGACUGGAAUUCUCGGUGUAGCGGUGAAAUGCGUAGAUAUCGAGAGGAACACCCGUGGCGAAGGCGGGUCUCUGGACAGUUCCUGACACUGAGGCACGAAGGCCAGGGGAGCAAACGGG